UGUAGUAUGAUAGAUACUGUCCAAAUAAAAUAAAUAAGCUACACAUACUACGGCAGUACAAAAGACGUCCCGACCGCGACGGUACACACUUUUUGCUUGUAAGUUUUUGAAUAACCGAAACCUAAAAAGUUAUUUUGUUACACCAUCAGCAUCAAUGAAAGGCAAACCCAUUGUUGUUUUUUUUAUAUAUUUUUUUUUGUUGGCGCCCACUUGGGCCAGCGCACAGUGAUUCACUCUAAGGCCAUAAAUCGAAAAAUGUCAUCGGCUUAUCCCCAUUAGAUCUACUUACUAAGUGAUUAACAAGUUAAGAAGCUUCCGAAAACUCUAAAUACCAGUGUCAUAAGGUCAACUUAUUAUUCACUUUUGUGCAUCGGAAGUUAGCGCAUCUCGAGUCUAAUUAUCGCAACGUGUGAGUCAUCAAAACUUAACACUUUGUUUUUGAGUGUCACUAUUCCAAAUCAAGUGUUUACGUAUGGUGACAGUAUGGAGGUCCAAGACCAAGGUAAAGUUUUCAAAUGUUCUGUUUCGAGGACGACUAUUUUUGACAUUUGGCACUCUAAAGAGGGUAGUCCAAAUGAAAAAUGCAACAUGUCCUGAAUACUUUUACAGAAACAUCGUGCCUUUCGGAUGACAUCGAAAAUAUCAAACUAGAGACUUUAAGUAAUAAAAUUAUGAAUGUAUGUAAACGAAUUUCUCAUUAUUGGGCAAUAUCAAAUCGUAGUAGGUCUAAGUUUAUAGAGAAAUAUUCAGAUUGGCUGAAUGUAGUUGAAAAUAUUGAUGUAGAGCGAAUUGAGUUACAUGUAUCUCAGAAGUCUGACAAAGUUGAACCAUCAACUUCUUCAUUCAGAUCCCUUAUUAACAGGUUUACGAAAGUUACCUGUCAAAAACAAAAGGUGUACUAUCAAAAAUUGUACUAGAUUUGUUAUCUGUUUGUAGUAAAUACUUUUGAGCUUGAAUGUAUUCUGGUAUAUUUUGUGUUUUGUGUGUAUUUGCAAAAAAGGUUGUUCGUGUA